GACGAACGCUGGCGGCGUGCUUAACACAUGCAAGUCGAACGAUGAACCCGGAGCUUGGUCCGGUGGAUUAGUGGCGAACGGGUGAGUAAGACGUGAGUAACCUUCCCUUGACUCUGGGAUAACUGCGGGAAACUGUAGCUAAUACCGGAUACGACCCUCGGCGGCAUCGCCAGGUGGUGGAAAGAAUUUCGGUCAAGGAUGGCCUCGCGGCCUAUCAGCUAGUUGGCGAGGUAACGGCUCACAAAGGCGACGACGGAUAGCCGGCCUGAGGGGGUGACCGGCCACACUGGGACUGAGACACGGCCCAGACUCCUACGGGAGGCAGCAGUGGGGAAUAUCGCACAAUGGGCGCAAGCCUGAUGCAGCAACGCCGCGUGAGGGAUGACGGCCUUCGGGUUGUAAACCUCUUUUAGUAGGGAAGAAGCGAAAGUGACGGUACCUGCAGAAAAAGCACCGGCUAACUACGUGCCAGCCGCCGCCGUAA
rnacentral:rRNA from 1 species